rnacentral:misc_RNA from 1 species
UAUUAUCUUACAUAGACUAAGUAAUGGUAUUAAUGUUAACAAAGACAAGGCAGGAAGCUGCAAUACAACCACUCACUAUCACUAUAUUUACUUCCAAGCGUCAAAACCAACCUUCCCUAAACUCCCCAUGCGGACCGUAACCAUAACUGGCUGUCUCUGUUGCGUACCAAUGUGACCCUGAAUCUGUACCAAUGGCGAUGGACAGGGACCAUGACCUACUGUGAAAGCGGGCAGUUGGAAUGGAAAUGGCGAUGGAGGCAUAAUAUAAGAUUGUGGAGAAGGACCGCUGAUUUCUGGUAGAGGAGAGCGGAUGUCAUCCAGGGAAGGAUAUAAGCACUUGUCUUGCGACCGAACUUGAGCUUGCAAUGGUGGGCAAUGGACUUUCUCUGGAGACAAAUGAAUUUUAGUUCUAGCUGGGAAAACUAAUCUCGGAGUCGGAGAAGCAUCUCCUUUCUUCUCAGCCUUCCCUUUCACCUUAUAGGAAAAAUUCAAG